UAUGGCAGUGACGAUUUGCAAAUAUUCAAGCUGAACAGACCAAAUCACAGGUCGUCUCUCUUGAGAUUGAUUUGUAUGCCGAUUAUCCCGCUGAACCGAGCCAUC
rfam:Triticum aestivum genome assembly, contig: Triticum_aestivum_CS42_TGACv1_scaffold_526721_6DL